AUGCCGAAAGACCGCCUCCAGGAUUUCAAGUUGAAAACGCAGAAGCAGCCCCGUUAUCCGUCAGGUGCACACCCCAAUCACUCCAGCAGACCCUGCGCACCCGAGUCACUCCAGCAGACCCUGCGCACCCCAGUCCCUCCGGCAGACCCUGCGCACCCCAGUCACUCCAGCAGACCCUGCGCACCCCAGUCACUCCAGCAGACCCUGCACACCCGAGUCCCUCCAGCAGACCCUGCGCACCCGAGUCACUCCAGCAGACAUGCGCACCCCAGUCACUCCAGCAGACCCUGCGCACCCCAGUCCCUCCGGCAGACCCUGCGCACCCCAGUCCUCCGGCAGACCCUGCGCACCCCAGUCCUCCGGCAGACCCUGCGCACCCCGGUCACUCCGGCAGACCCUGCGCACCCCGGUCACUCCAGCAGACCCUGCACACCCGAGUCCCUCCAGCAGACCCUGCGCACCCCGGUCACUCCGGCAGACCCUGCGCACCCCGGUCACUCCAGCAGACCCUGCACACCCGAGUCCCUCCAGCAGACCCUGCGCACCCCGGUCACUCCGGCAGACCCUGCGCACCCCGGUCACUCCAGCAGACCCUGCACACCCGAGUCCCUCCGGCAGACCCUGCGCACCCCGGUCACUCCGGCAGACCCUGCGCACCCGGUCACUCCGGCAGACCCUGCGCACCCGGUCACUCCGGCAGACCCUGCGCACCCCGGUCACUCCGGCAGACCCUGCGCACCCGAGUCACUCCGGCAGACCCUGCACACCCGAGUCCCUCCGGCAGACCCUGCACACCCCAGUCCCUCCGGCAGACCCUGCGCACCCGAGUCACUCCGGCAGACCCUGCGCACCCCGGUCCCUCCGGCAGACCCUGCGCACCCCGGUCACUCCGGCAGACCCUGCGCACCCCAGUCCUCCGGCAGACCCUGCACACCCGAGUCGCUCCAGCAGACCCUGCGCACCCCAGUCACUCCGGCAGACCCUGCGCACCCGAGUCACUCCGGCAGACCCUGCACACCCGAGUCACUCCAGCAGACAUGCGCACCCCAGUCACUCCAGCAGACCCUGCACACCCGAGUCACUCCAGGCAUCCUAGCUAACGAGGACUUCGAUUUCGAUUUCCAUCUGCAGGCAUCUUACCUCUCUGCCUCCUAA
rnacentral:lncRNA from 1 species